rnacentral:rRNA from 1 species
AACGCGAAGAACCUUACCUACCCUUGACAUGGCAGGAAUCCUGAAGAGAUUUAGGAGUGCUCGCAAGAGAACCUGCACACAGGUGCUGCAUGGCUGUCGUCAGCUCGUGUCGUGAGAUGUUGGGUUAAGUCCCGCAACGAGCGCAACCCUUGUCAUUAGUUGCUACGAAAGGGCACUCUAAUGAGACUGCCGGUGACAAACCGGAGGAAGGUGGGGAUGACGUCAAGUCCUCAUGGCCCUUAUGGGUAGGGCUUCACACGUCAUACAAUGGUACAUACAGAGGGCUGCCAACCCGCGAGGGGGAGCUAAUCCCAGAAAGUGUAUCGUAGUCCGGAUUGUAGUCUGCAACUCGACUACAUGAAGUUGGAAUCGCUAGUAAUCGCGGAUCAGCAUGUCGCGGUGAAUACGUUCCCGGGUCUUGUACACACCG